UACGUAGGGGGGCUAGCGUUGUCCGGAUUUAUUGGGCGUAAAGAGCUCGUAGGCGGUCUGUCGCGUCUGCUGUGAAAACUCGGGGCUUAACCCCGGGCCUGCAGUGGGUACGGGCAGACUAGAGUGCGGUAGGGGAGACUGGAAUUCCUGGUGUAGCGGUGAAAUGCGCAGAUAUCAGGAGGAACACCGGUGGCGAAGGCGGGUCUCUGGGCCGAUACUGACGCUGAGGAGCGAAAGCGUGGGGAGCAAACAGG
rnacentral:rRNA from 1 species